CAGCCUGCCCAGUGACUACGGGUUCAACGGCCGCGGUAUUUUGACCGUGCAAAGGUAGCGCAAUCACUUGUCUCUUAAAUAGAGACCUGUAUGAAUGGCUAGACGAGGGCUUAACUGUCUCCCCCCUCCGGUCAGUGAAAUUGAUCUAUCCGUGCAGAAGCGGGUGUAAUUAUACAAGACGAGAAGACCCUUUGGAGCUUAAGGUACAAAGUUCAACCACGUUAAACGACUCCGCACAAAGCAAGAACUUAGUGGAAAAUGAAAUUUUACCUUCGGUUGGGGCGACCACGGAGGAGAAAAGAGCCUCCGAGUGGAUUGGGCUAAAUCCCCAAAGCCAAGAGAUACAUCUAUAAGCCGCAGAACAUCUGACCAAAAAUGAUCCGGCUGAAAAGCCGAUCAACGAACCAAGUUACCCUAGGGAUAACAGCGCAAUCCUCUCCCAGAGUCCAUAUCGACGAGGGGGUUUACGACCUCGAUGUUGGAUCAGGACAUCCUAAUGGUGCAGCCGCUAU
rnacentral:rRNA from 1 species